CUUUCCCUCUACUAUCGACGGUUGCGGCGACGGCGUUCGUGGCGGCUGCGGCCACACCGUUCCCUUCCCCGAUGAACACGCCUCUGUCGCAGCGGUGAUCCAGGCCCCAUAGAUUGAAGGAACUCGCCGUUACCCGAUUCCACUAUUGCACUGGGAUUUUGGCUCUGGAUGGAAAAUCAGUCAGUGUAGACAUGGAACUGUGUUUUCCUACGGUGUGACAAGUAGUGGAAAGACACAUUUCCAAAGCAACCUAUGAGGUUGUAAGUUUUUGCAUUCUUCGCCUCUCUUUAUAUCCUUGUUUUCUCUUCACUGAUAUGCCUGUUGAUUUCAAAUGUUUCUCUUCACUGGGGUUUGCAUGCAGGUUAAGAGUAUUCAAGAAGCAGAAAGGGUUCUUGGUGAACUAGCCUCCUUGUGCAGCGUAGCUAAAAUGAUAAGUACCUUAGGUAUUGGCCAAGGAAGCCAGAAACAGAGCUUAGAGGUGGUCUAAAUGAGGAUUCUUCAACCUCACCUUUACCCAGAGUUUUUAAGGUGGCUGUAAUAUUUUUUUACCAAGACAUAAAGAAGAGAUUGCCAACAGUGAGGUUAGUUUUUCAAUAUCUUGCAUUUGAUUCUUCUAACUUGUAGGUGGCUCUUAGCUGUGAUUCUCAUUUUAUUAUGCCAUUGUUGUAUGUCAAGGUCAGUCUCUGUUGUGGAUUGUCUUCAUUAUUUAUUAGACUUGUCAGUCUUUGGUUAUGUACUUGCGAGGGUUCUUGGGCUAGAUGUGUCAUCAUCACGAACCAUGAAAAUUAGCAUGUUGUAUUUAGGUAUAUUUGAAUAAAUCUCAUGUUAUUGCUAAUUAGCAAGUUUCAGAAGUUUGUAGAUAGAAGUUAUAAGCAGAAACAUGGUAUAAGAUUCUGUUUAGUGCCCUGUGAAAACUGAUUUUAAAGAUUUGAAUAUCAUGGAUAACUUGCAUGAAACUUCACAUUUCACUUUGUUUCCUUCUAUCUUGAUUAAUAGUAGAUUUUUCAGCUUUAAUUCAUUUUUUAAAUCGAGUGAGUGACUAAAUCAUUAAAACUGUAUUUUUAGUUUUAGUCCCUUGAAGCUUGUUAAUCAUCUCUAUGCCAUUUUGUGCUCUUAUAAGAUGUGUGGUUCGAAAAAUUACGACUCUUUUUUAUUACUCUUAUGACAUGUAGUCUUACAUGGGUAUGUAUAUAGAUCGGUAGGAAUAGUUUAUUUUUGCUUGAAAGCAAUGGUUUUAGUUCUUGAUAUUUCUGAGGGAUGUUUUGUUUGUGGCAGCUAUGAAAUCCAUUCCUGGCGGUCUAAAACCGCCACCAAAUAAGAUAAUAAAGACAUUGCCUACUAUGAUAUUUAGCGGCAAUAGUAAAUGCCGGCAAGUAUGGACGCUAUAGGAUGGUGACUUUUCCCGGCCGUUCUUGACGUCUUUACCGGCGCCCGGUAUAACGGCCGGUAAAUCCUUUACCAACCCCCGAUGCACCGGCGAAGAUGCGGUUGUCGGUAAAAGAAUUAGCGGCUAUAUUUAUUGCCGCUAAAAGGAGUUUUUAUUGCCGGUAAAAAGCGUUUUUGUUGUAGUGAGGGAGUGGCGACGAUUGGAGGAGAUGAAGGAGGGUUAGCCUGAUGGUGGAUAGGGUGCACAGUGGUGGUGCGAUUGGUGGA